rnacentral:rRNA from 1 species
GCGGCAGGCUUAACACAUGCAAGUCGAGGGGCAGCGGGGAGGAAGCUUGCUUUCUCCGCCGGCGACCGGCGCACGGGUGAGUAACACGUAUGCAACCUGCCCCUGUCAGGGGGACAACCCGCCGAAAGGCGGGCUAAACCCGCGUACAUGCCACCGGGGCAUCCCGGAGGCAGGAAAGGCUUCGGCCGGACAGGGAUGGGCAUGCGGCGCAUUAGGCAGUAGGCGGGGUAACGGCCCACCUAACCGACGAUGCGUAGGGGUUCUGAGAGGAAGGUCCCCCACACUGGUACUGAGACACGGACCAGACUCCUACGGGAGGCAGCAGUGAGGAAUAUUGGUCAAUGGUCGGGAGACUGAACCAGCCAAGCCGCGUGAGGGAGGAAGGUACAGAGUAUCGUAAACCUCUUUUGUCAGGGAACAAAGGCGGGGACGUGUCCCCGGAUGAGUGUACCUGAAGAAAAAGCAUCGGCUAACUCCGUGCCAGCAGCCGCGGUAAUACGGAGGAUGCGAGCGUUAUCCGGAUUUAUUGGGUUUAAAGGGUGCGCAGGCGGUCUGUUAAGUCAGCGGUCAAAGCCCGGGGCUCAACCCCGGCCCGCCGUUGAAACUGGCAGUCUCGAGUUGGAGAGAAGUAUGCGGAAUGCGCGGUGUAGCGGUGAAAUGCAUAGAUAUCGCGCAGAACUCCGAUUGCGAAGGCAGCAUGCCGGCUCCACACUGACGCUGAGGCACGAAAGCGUGGGUAUCGAACAGGAUUAGAUACCCUGGUAGUCCACGCAGUAAACGAUGAAUGCUGGCUGUCCGGGGGGAUUGACCCCUGGGUGGCGAAGCGAAAGCGAUAAGCAUUCCACCUGGGGAGUACGCCGGCAACGGUGAAACUCAAAGGAAUUGACGGGGGCCCGCACAAGCGGAGGAACAUGUGGUUUAAUUCGAUGAUACGCGAGGAACCUUACCCGGGCUCAAACGGGGAGUGACUCAGGCAGAGACGCCUGUUUCCCACGGGACACUCCCCGAGGUGCUGCAUGGUUGUCGUCAGCUCGUGCCGUGAGGUGUCGGCUUAAGUGCCAUAACGAGCGCAACCCCCGCGUGCAGUUGCUAACAGAUAACGCUGAGGACUCUGCACGGACUGCCGGCGCAAGCCGCGAGGAAGGCGGGGAUGACGUCAAAUCAGCACGGCCCUUACGUCCGGGGCGACACACGUGUUACAAUGGGUGGUACAGCGGGAAGCCAGGCGGCGACGCCGAGCGGAACCCGAAAUCCACUCUCAGUUCGGAUCGGAGUCUGCAACCCGACUCCGUGAAGCUGGAUUCGCUAGUAAUCGCGCAUCAGCCAUGGCGCGGUGAAUACGUUCCCGGGCCUU